UGGGGAAUAUUGCACAAUGGGCGCAAGCCUGAUGCAGCCAUGCCAGCGUGUGUGAAGAAGGCCUUCGGGUUGUAAAGCACUUUCAGCGAGGAGGAAGGUGGUGACUUAAUACGUCAUCAAUUGACGUUACUCGCAGAAGAAGCACCGGCUAACUCCGUGCCAGCAGCCGCGGUAAUACGGAGGGUGCAAGCGUUAAUCGGAAUUACUGGGCGUAAAGCGCACGCAGGCGGUUUGUUAAGUCAGAUGUGAAAUCCCCGGGCUCAACCUGGGAACUGCAUUUGAAACUGGCAAGCUAGAGUCUCGUAGAGGGGGGUAGAAUUCCAGGUGUAGCGGUGAAAUGCGUAGAGAUCUGGAGGAAUACCGGUGGCGAAGGCGGCCCCCCUGGACGAAGACUGACGCUCAGGUGCGAAAGCGUGGGGCAGCAAACAGGAUUAGAUACCCUGGUAGUCCAGCGCUGUAAACGAUGUCGAUUUGGAGGUUGUGCCCUUGAGGCGUGGCUUCCGGAGCUAACGCGUUAAAUCGACCGCCUGGGGAGUACGGCCGCAAGGUUAAAACUCAAAGUAAUUGAC
rnacentral:rRNA from 1 species